AUCUGACACACUUAUACCUAUUCCUUGUAUAACUAUUUUUUGUCAUCUGCAGGGUUAUUUGAGGUCAGAGCACAGGACUACCUUGAAUCUCUUCCUGGGAGUGAACAAAGAGGGAUGAACCGAUUUCUUAGAGGCCUAGGUAGUAAAAUGAAAUUCCUUCACAAGAAGUAAAAAAGGCAUUUGAAAGGCAUCUUAAUGGGAAAGAAGGCUGAAUCUAGCAUAGUCACUUUUUCUCUUAUCAAUUUUCCAUCAAAUUUGAGGUUGUCAAUACGGCAAUACUUGUUGAAGAGAAAAAGAAGACUGCUGCCUCAAAGCUGUGCUCGAUCUAAUGUGAAAGCCUUGAGGGGGAGUAAAACUCAGUUCCAUUGAAUAUUUAUUAUUUAGACGUGCAUGAAGUCUGCCUUGCCUCUAUCUGGCUUUCACUUCUCAUUGGAUAAAGAUUACCUGCAGGAUGUCACACCCUUGUCUGUGGAAGAGUUGGAGAAACAAGCAAAGGAUGGAGAAAGUACUAUUCGAGAGUGGUGUACAGUAAAACAGGCAUGGAAUAUGCUGGAAGAUGAGGGAUAUGGAAAGAAAAAUGAGACAUUUGUAAAUUUGUGAAUUAAAAAACACCGACUUCAGACACUUUUUAAACUUGGUUUUGAAUUCUACUGUGAAUACUCAGGAGUCACAAUCUUUGUCCUUUUCAGUUUAGCAUGAUACACCAGAAAUAUAACUGCACCAUGAUGUUUGAAAAGUCUGUAAUUCUCUGUGUAACACACUGUCAGAUAAGAGAAUACUGGGUUUAAGAUUAUAAUGUGAUUUUACUGUCAGGAGGUUGGCUUGAAUCAUACAAUUGAUCAGUAUAAUCUUGUACUGUAGAUAAUAUGCAUUUGCACUGGUCAAUGGGGGAGCAACUAGAAGUGUUUAGUGAAAACUUUGUCCAGUGCCUGCUUGAUAAUAGGACCAAGAUGCUGAGGGAUGAGGUACAAAGUGCAUGGAGUGAAGCCAGAGUCCAAGUAUAUUAUCACAAUGUACAAUGUUGUCAAACUGCAGGACCACUUGUCUGUAUCAAUAUGCUGCCUAUUGUCUGAAUUGCAUCUCUUUGUAGCAUUUGAAAUUGAAUUGUUAUCGACUGUGGUAAAUUGAUGGAGAAUUGUAUUUUGAGGAGUUCUUGGGUUGGGAGAGUAUAAGAUUAGGGAGUCUCCAAUUUCAUUUCACUUAAAUUAAGCAUUCUUUGGUUGCUCUUAGUGACUAUCUGUCCAUAUUUGAGGUAAUUGUAAAUAUGAAAAUGUCACUGAUGCUCACCAAACAAAGUCCAGCAGCUGUCCAUAUCCAAGGGAUUAUAACUACAUUUUUUAUUCAGCUAGUCAUCUGUGUGCUGUUAAACACAAAGUGACAAGAUGGGUCUGAAUAUCUUUCUUUCUGUAGUGGUCUCACUCAGCCUAAACUGCAUAAUAUUGAAUCCUGCUUGAGAGAAUUAGUGUGCUGCAGAUCUUUUUGCAAUCUACAACAUAAAUCUUGUUGCUAGAUACAAAAAAGAUCAAAUUUUGCAAUAAAACACAAACAGCUGGCUUGCAAUAGAAGACUAAUUGUAAAUUGGUUCAGUUUGCAAGCUUUUGCUUUAUUUCCUGUGGAUCUUCAACACUGAAUUGUUGUACCACAGUUCUCUUCAGAGGUCUGCACCUUCUGUAUCAAGCUUAUGUACAUCUGAAAAAUCAGCUGUAUCCAGUAUUGACCAUAUGUUGCUGGGCUGAUCUUUCAAGCUUUCAGAUCUCGACUGACAACUAGUGUAGUAAGAGAUUUAACAACACAGAAUAUUUACAAGAGGCUGAGGGUGAAUCAUAAAGUAACUAUGAGAAUUGAAAUAGGUAUCAGGUAAAAGGGCACUGAUGUUUUAACCACUGUAAUGUAGCUCAUGAGCAGAGUUGUAAUACUGUAUUUUAAAUAGACAAAUUAUAAUACUAGCAUGAUCACUAGGUGGCUCUUAGUUUACAUAUUCCAAGCAAAAAGAAAUUCCAGAAUUCUAGUCUUUUAGAAGCACUCCAACUGCUGAACAAGUCAGUUCAGUAUUUGCUUUCGACCUGCUCAACUUUGAGAGUGUUAACAAAUAUCCUCUGGAAGUCAAUCCAUGGUGAUGGGAUCAGUCAAAUCUGGAAUCCUGGUUUUCUCUCACCCCUUUACCAUCUGUUAUUCCUCAGCAGCUAAGUACUCAAAUGAAUGGCAUGCUUGCUACUCUAACUAGCAUUUAGAAAUUGCACAAUAAUGACAACAUGGACAUAAGAUGUCACUACCAAUCUCUUUCUUACCUUCCCAGUUCUGUGAAAGAAGUGCUUCAAUCAUGGUCAACUCUUUUUCGGCAGAGUCAGCUGAGAUUAGGACCUCACUUUAUCAGGAGGUUCAGAUAUUAAUCCAGUUCUGAUCACUUUGGAAUUGUACAUUACUAGGUACAGCACAUCUUAGUGAGCAGAGAUUCAGGUGCUGAGAUACACAUUCCAAUUACUCCAUUUGGUGCAAGGUUUCAUUUUUAGAAAAAUGCUUGUGGUAAUUUAAUUUUUCUAACACUAACUGUUUUUUUAAGUUAGAAGCUUUAUGGGAAAGUCGUGUCCUUGAGCGCUAUUCAUUCCCUGGAUUUGGACCAAGCACCUCUCUGCUGAACUGUUCCAACACAGGAUCAAUUAUUGGGUUCAGUGUACUGAAGUAAAAGACAAAAAGGAACUGUGACAGCAAGGACUACAUAAAGCUCUGUAUUCUGAGAGUCAGACAUUGUAUAAGCUAAAUGAUUAAAGUGAAAGUGUGUACAUGUACAUGCCCACAAUAUGUUGUUUACACUGUGAAAUAAUGUUUUGUCUUAUAAUUGGUAAUGGUAUUUUGAAACCUAAUUCAAAGGAGAGGAUGGUCCAAACCGAAUGGAGUCCACUAAGACAUGCUCCCUGUCACCUUUAGUUCCUAUAGCUAGAAUAUAACACUAUAAAAGCUGGGAUCUUUUCAUGUAACUUAAAGAAAGUUCUAUUUAUUUUAGUGAUUUGAUUAACCAAAGUCUGUUGUUUGUAAUUUGUCAAAUUAAUUCUGUUGGAUAUGGAUGGUCAAUAAAACAAAAUGUAAGUGCAUUAAAUGGAAAAGAAAUCUCAACAAACAA